UCCGUUCGAUCUCCUGCCCCCACACGCCACCGUCUGCAAAUCCCGCAUCGGCCUCGCCUGAUUCACCCUGAUCGUUCAAUGAUUCGUCCUACCUCACAACCCAUCGCGACCCCCUCGGUUCCCCUCGUCCGAUUCCCUCAGUAUCCAGACGAUUUGGCCCUCGGAAUCGAGCGCACGAAGCUCGCCGGAUCUCCCCAGUCGACGUCGCUUUACCGCUCGAUUCCACCACGUACGGGCACCAGCAGGAGCUCGCCAACUCGCACUCGAAGGAUGCCGGCGCCGCCCAACUUCGUCGGUGCCCAGCCGCCGCAAGACACCUCCCAAGGGCAUCCCAACGAGGCCAUCGACAUCGCCGUGAAGCUCUGCGCACCGUUCGCUCCUUCAUGACGUCCUAAGAGGACCACAUCGACGCUACGGGCCACUUUUCGAUGCCCCGCCGCCGCGCCAUGGUCGCUGGAGUUCCUUCCGGUGAGGAAUUCCCCUUUGUUUGCAACCCUAGCCCCAAUAAUACAGUGGCCGUCUGGUCUAACUUCAUCCAACGGCAGGCAACAACAGAUUGCUCGGAGCGUGACGAGUAGCAUUGUCAGGAAUUGUGAGUGCGACAAUCUUCACCAAAAGUACCAG